rnacentral:rRNA from 1 species
CACGUAGGGCGCAAGCGUUGUCCGGAAUUUAUUGGGCGUAAAGAGCUCGUAGGCGGUCUGUUGCGUCCGCUGUGAAAACUCGGGGCUUAACCCCGAGCCUGCAGUGGAUACGGGCAGACUAGAGGUAGGUAGGGGAGAAUGGAAUUCCCGGUGUAGCGGUGAAAUGCGCAGAUAUCGGGAGGAACACCGGUGGCGAAGGCGGUUCUCUGG